rnacentral:tRNA from 3 species
GGCCCUAUGGGGUAGCUUGGAUAUCCUGCCGGACCUCGACUCCGCUGACCUGGGUUCGAAUCCCAGUAGGGCCACCA